rnacentral:lncRNA from 1 species
AAACAUGGAUAGAUAACUGUUGAAAGGUGGUUCAGUAGGUAGAAUGGAUGAAUAGUCAGGAAAAGUAGUUAUCAUCUGUAGUAUAGGAGUUGGUAUCUUGGGGUAGUAUAAGGAGGAUGGGAGAGGGGAAGAAAAUGCCAGACUAUGAGAGUUGUGAGCCGGGGUAAGCUUGGUGCUACCUUUUUUCUUUUGUUUGUUAUAUUCUUUGAAUAAGAGGAUUGAAAGUUUCUGAAUAUUGUGAAGUGAAUUAUGGAAAUGUGAUUGGUAUUAUUUGAGAAGAAGAAAGAUUGAAUGCUGAAAUCUGAUUGUAGUUUAGCAGAGAGAAUGAGUCUAUGUUUGUGUGAAACACUAUAAUGUGAAUGGCAGUUUUGUGUGAAGAAUUCCAGAGAUUGGAACGAGGAUAAUUGUGUGCUGAAAGCUGUGAGGGCGUAGUAUUACAGUUGGAGAUUAUGAGGGUGAAUAUAUUGGUGGAAAUAGCAGUUAUUGGUAUGACUGAAUUGUUAUAAGGAAGAGACCGAUAAGGUGAAGGAAGAGAUUAUAGUUUCCUUGUGUGUUCAAAUAUUGAAAAUAGAGACAAUACAUUGAAGAGGUAAAUGAUUGUGUGACCCUAACGUGAACACUUAAGCAACUAGUCAUUCCCUGUGUUCGAAUUCUCCCUAUAAGGAUUUAUGCUGGGAGGUUUCUUUUGGGAUAAGUAAAAUGAGCAAUCACAGGGAGGGAUGAAAGCAAGGCAUG